GAUGAACGCUACCGGCAGGCCUAACACAUGCAAGUCGAGGGGCAGCACAGAAACAGCAAUGUUUUGGUGGCGACCGGCGGACGGGUGCGUAACGCGUAUGCAACCUACCUUUAACAGGGGGAUAACGGAGAGAAAUUUCCACUAAUACCCCAUAACAUCGAUCAAGGCAUCUUGAUUGGUUGAAAACUCCGGUGGUUAAAGAUGGGCAUGCGUUGUAUUAGGUAGCUGGUGAGGUAAUGGCUCACCAAGCCUACGAUACCUAGGGGGACUGAGAGGUUAGCCCCCCACACUGGUAGUGAGACACGGACCAGACUCCGACGGGAGGCAGCAGUGAGGAAUAUUGGUCAAUGGGGGCAACCCUGAACCAGCCAUGCCGCGUGCAGGAAGACGGCUCUAUGAGUUGUAAACUGCUUUUAAACAGGGAUAAAGCACAGUAUGUAUACUGAGUUGAAGGUACUGUAAGAAUAAGGAUCGGCUAACUCCGUGCCAGCCGCCGCCGUAA
rnacentral:rRNA from 1 species